UUGCUAAAUGAUGCCAAGAAGUUAUAAACACCUUCAUUUCCAAUAUGAAUUUUCUCUCUUACCAUGCUCUCUGCAUUAGUUAGUUAACUUGAAUUACUGAAAAAUCACCAUGGAGAAAAGGAAAAGAAGAGGGCGUGGAAGGCCUUAGAUGAAGAUAGUAGCUACAUAUGGACGCACAAUUAGCUCUAGAGUAUAGGGAAAGGCUCAGGUGGAAGAAUUAACAGGGAUACAACAACUUCCAGUGCAACACCACGCUUAAGCUAUUCAAAAAUGGGAUGGAAUGGAUGAUGGAAAAAAGCAAUCAAGUAAUAUCCUUUCUCGAGUAUUAAGUGGACUUACAUAAGGCAAUAAGUCAAAUUCGUUGAUGGAACAGUACGUCAACACAAGCAUGAACAUUCAUAAGCCUCGGAGUGGAGCUCAAACUAAUAGAUCUAGAGAUUUGUAGAAGACAGUGAGAAGAAUGAGCAAAGUAUUAUUCAUCGGGACUCUCAACUGAAUUGGGUGAAGUCAUGUCCUCCAUCAAUAGAACAGUACCGGAUACCAGAUGGAGAUGCUAUAGUAACUAAAGAGGAGGGACAUAAUCUGUAACAAUAAUUUCAUCAAGCCUUAGAUAAUGAUAAUAUAUUGCAGGAAAAUAACAAUGAUAAACCUAAGGCAAGUUUUUUUUUUGAAAAAUAGAAUUGAUGCUAUGGAUUGG
rnacentral:lncRNA from 1 species